rnacentral:lncRNA from 1 species
CACAUGUUCGGGAGUUCCUGUGCUCAAUCCGUUUCCUUCUUUUUGUUGCCAGGUAUCUUGUUAGACACAUCUAUUUUUUCUCUGAACUAUAAUAAGUUACAGAUAAAGUUCAUGGAAACCUUGAAAGCACAUAUAAGUUACACAUCUAUUUGUUCUCUGAGCCAGGGUACAUGUCUUCUUGGUUUACUUUUUGCAUAUUUGGUUUUAGAAGAAAUUAGAAAGAUGCAAUGGCAUAUUCUGCUCAUACAAGGUGAUAUGGACUUGUAUAAAUCUUUCCCUGCAUUUGCAAGUUGUUAAACGAAGUUUGUUUUUCAUUUCCAAUUUAGUUAUUCCUUUCUAGUUUAGUUUCCGUUUUCUUGCCAACUUAUUUGAAGCUCAUUUCACAAAUUAGCCGAUCUUUGUGAGAAAGCUCUUAAUAUAAUUGCACCAAACGGGUUUGACAAAAAUAGUGCAUAUUUCAUAUGCAAGAAGUAUGCUUAACUUUCAUUUUGACAUAUUAUAUUUCAAUUUAUAAAAUUAAACAGAACACUUUAACUUGUAAAAUUAAAUAAAUUAAACAACUAUUAAAUAUUUGAAAAUGUAAAAAAUAUUAUUCAAAAGAUUAUGCUAACUGCAAAUCAAUUGUUUUGCUUAUAAAAUUGAAAAAUCCUAAAACAGAAAUAUUGUUGCUAGUAUGGAAAAGUGUAUAAUAUUAUUAAAAUUUGUAAUUUCAAAUACACAAAAGAUCAUCCACAAAAUUUAAGGUGCUAUAAGAUUAAACACUAAACAGACAUUAAUGCACACGAACAGACAUUUUUUCAUCAAAUUUAUCUCGAGAGAAUAAAGAACAGAAAAUCCUUGCCGCAAAGAUUAUGAUUAAUACACAAAAGGGGCAAUAAAAGAUCCCAAAGGCAAAAAGUACAAGUAAUGAAAUCACUAAAGAUAUUAGCAAAACUUACACUCGGAAGAAACCAGAGGUCUCUUCCUUACACAGGUUAUCUUUACAGCUAUUCCACAUAUUUUCGAUUAAACAUAUCUGCCCUUAUAUCUUUAUUACCACAUGUUACAAAGAAUAUUAAAACCAUAAAACCUUAACUUUCACCACCAAAUAACACAUUUUAUCGCCAAUAUCCCAUAGCUACUACUGGAAGCCUUACUUUGUGCCCUCGGCUGCCUUUCAUUAAAAUUUCUCCAAAACUAUAUGUUCCUGUUACUGAUCGAACGGUAAGAGUAACCGAGAACUUCCUUGAUGCACCAGGCUUUAGAGUCAUUGCCGAAGGGUUAGUUUCAAUGGCAAUGGCCGGUUGCAUUCUGGCCGUGAUCACGUAGGUUUCUUCCUCGGCAACAUUUGUGACCGUGCGAGUGAAUGUUUGAGAUUUUACUAGAUGGGAUACUGCGAUUGAUGGG